CGUUGUCCAUCUUAAUUCCUCCCUUCAUUUUUCCACGCACGACUGCUUUCACGGUUAAGCCAUCGCACAACUGCUUCCACCCUAAACCCUAGAUGUUCAAUCCCAAUCCAAAGUCAAGAGUUCAAUCCCAACCCACUCUAACCGAAAUUUCGCAAUUCGAAAUGAAAGAGUUUCCUUCAAUCCAAAUUCCCUCAUAUCCGAAACGGGACAUGAAUGCAGAUCAAGAUCCACAUUUGUUAAAUCAGUUGAAGGGCAAGCCCUGACUUAUGCAAUUUCGCCUAAUCUUCACAAAAUGAAGAACAAAUUGUCUGCAAUUAAGGAAAGAAGCAGUGGAAAGCUCGAUUUGUUGCAAUUGGGUUGGAAAGAAGCAGUGCUUGCAGGAUCCUUAUAGGAUCCACUGUGUUUUUUACUUUUUAUUAGAAAAGAAAAAUUCAAGAUUUUGGAGGAAUGGACAGUCCCUUAUUUUAUUUGGCUAGAAUUCAAGCUGUUGAGAAACAUAAGCUAGGAGAAGGUGGUUUUGGCCCUGUCUUCAAGGGUGUUCUGCCAGACGAAACCAAAGUUGAUGACAAACGGCUCUCCAACAAAUCUGGUCAAGGAAAGGAUGAAUUUACAGAUGAAGUUCUGCUAAUCUCAAAUUGAAUUUUCAGCAUAAGAAUUUGGCCAGACUGUUGGAUUUUGCGUAGAGGGAACUUAAAGGCUGCUCAUCUAUGAACUUAUGUCUUCUGGCGGCUUAGAGUCAUGGCUUUAUGGUACUACAUUGAGAAUAUAUGGUCUACAACACCAUUGCUUAGAUACUUAUUUCCUUUCCCUUUUCUUUUUUUAGUGUGUUGACAAUAUUGCAUAUGAUUUUAAGUUAUGAGACAUCAAGACGUUUAUUUGAUAUGAUAGAAUUGAAAUUGGAUGUUACACUUAGUAUAUAUUCAAUUUUUUUUACUAUUUUUUUUGUGGGGAUUGGAGCAACAUAUAUAUAUAUUCAACUCUUACAUUAUUGGCUCUAAAAUGGUUGUUUUUUUAUUUUAUAGAUAUUUAA